rnacentral:rRNA from 1 species
GACGAACGCUGGCGGCGUGCUUAACACAUGCAAGUCGAACGAAGAGCGACGGAAGCUUGCUUCUAUCAAUCUUAGUGGCGAACGGGUGAGUAACGCGUAAUCAACCUGCCCUUCAGAGGGGGACAACAGUUGGAAACGACUGCUAAUACCGCAUACGAUCUAAUCUCGGCAUCGAGGAUGGAUGAAAGGUGGCCUCUACAUGUAAGCUAUCACUGAAGGAGGGGAUUGCGUCUGAUUAGCUAGUUGGAGGGGUAACGGCCCACCAAGGCGAUGAUCAGUAGCCGGUCUGAGAGGAUGAACGGCCACAUUGGGACUGAGACACGGCCCAGACUCCUACGGGAGGCAGCAGUGGGGAAUCUUCCGCAAUGGACGAAAGUCUGACGGAGCAACGCCGCGUGAGUGAUGACGGCCUUCGGGUUGUAAAGCUCUGUUAAUCGGGACGAAAGGCCUUCUUGCGAAUAGUGGGAAGGAUUGACGGUACCGGAAUAGAAAGCCACGGCUAACUACGUG